rnacentral:rRNA from 1 species
AUGACAACUGAUCAACCUACCAAGUGGAUGUCAUGGCUGUCUCUAGCAGAAUAUUGGUAUAAUUCCACUUAUCACACUGCUCUGAAAAUGUCUCCAUUCCAAGCCCUUUAUGGAUUUCCACCUCCACUCAUAUCUGAAUUAGCAAUCCCUGGACGAGAAGAUGAGGAAGCACAAGAUUUCUUGACUGCUAAACAGCAAAUGUUAGAGCAUUUGAAAGAGAAUCUGUGCACAGCCCAGAAUAGGAUGAAGCGUUAUGCAGACCUCAAACGAGUGGAGAGAAGUUUCCAGGUGGGGGACAUGGUUUACUUGAAGAUGGCACCUUAUCGAUUGGCAGCAUUCGGCUUUCGAGGAGCUCUAAAGUUGCAGAACAAGUAUUAUGGCCCUUUUCUCAUAAUCCAAAAGAUAGGGAACUCUGCUUACAAAUUGCAAUUCCCUAGCAACGUUCAGAUACACCCUGUCUUCCAUGUCUGCCAGCUCAAGAAACACAUUGGACCAAAAGCGAUCCCGAGCCCCAACCUUCCAAUGGUCAAUGCGGAUGGUACGAUCAAAACGGGUCCAGCCGCAGUUCUAAAAGUCAGGCAAAUCCCACGCAACAAUGCACCAGUGGUACAGUGGAAAAUUCAAUGGGAAAAUCUGUCAUCGGCGGACGCUACGUGGGAGGAUGCUGACUUCAUCAAGUACUCAUUCCCAGAGUUUUUAGGCAAACUACACAAGCUUGGCGCACAGCACAAGAAUCGACGUGAGGACUCGUCGAUGCUCAAGAGGGGGGCAAUGUCAGGACCUGAGCUGCAGCCAAGUUCAGUUACAUAA